rnacentral:rRNA from 1 species
UGCAGUCGAACGGUAACAUUUCUAGCUUGCUAGAAGAUGACGAGUGGCGGACGGGUGAGUAAUACUUAGGAAUAUGCCUUUGUGUGGGGGGUAACCAUUGGAAACGAUGGCUAAUACCGCAUAACGUCUUCGGACCAAAGGGGGCUUCGGCUCCCGCGCAAAGAGUAGCCUAAGCGAGAUUAGCUUGUUGGUGAGGUAAAGGCUCACCAAGGCGACGAUCUCUAGCUGUUCUGAGAGGAAGAUCAGCCACACUGGAACUGAGACACGGUCCAGACUCCUACGGGAGGCAGCAGUGGGGAAUAUUGCACAAUGGGGGGAACCCUGAUGCAGCCAUGCCGCGUGUGUGAAGAAGGCCUUCGGGUUGUAAAGCACUUUCAGUUGUGAGGAAAGGUUAGCGGUUAAUACCCGUUAGCUGUGACGUUAGCAACAGAAGAAGGACCGGCUAACUCCGUGCCAGCAGCCGCGGUAAUACGGAGGGUCCGAGCGUUAAUCGGAAUUACUGGGCGUAAAGCGCACGCAGGCGGUUUGUUAAGCUAGAUGUGAAAGCCCCGGGCUCAACCUGGGAAUAGCAUUUAGAACUGGCAGACUAGAGUCUUGGAGAGGGGAGUGGAAUUUCUGGUGUAGCGGUG